UUGACUAUUAAGUCCUUUCCACCAUUUUUGGUAUCGAGGGUUGUAUGCUAGCACGAGUUGGAGAUUGCCGGAGAUGCCAUCACACUAUCAAGCUAUCAUGUUGGGUAAAUAAACACAAACCCUUGAGUCUAUGGCACGUAUAGGGACUUAGUCAUUUUGUGUAUGUGUCAUUAUGAUAUGGCCAAAUGUAUUGGCUUGUAAUGAUUAAGGAUUUGAUUUGGUAUGUAGCCACAUAAAAUUGGCUUAUAUUGGCUAAUGAGUUGCAAGCAUAUUAAUUACUCAUAUGCCUAUACCAAUAUCAUUGUGUGAUGUGGUUUAUAAUGGUAUGUUAAUGAAAUUAGACUAGAUGAUACAUGUGGGAAGUUGUUAUGUUGAAGGUGACUGGGUAUGUGUGGACUUGAUAAAGUAUGAUGUUAUGAGCAUGUAUAUGAAGGUAAGGAAAUGAUAUGUUUAAGUCUUUAUUGGUGAUGUAUAGGUUAAAUUGGCCAAUGAAUGGCAUGUAAAUAUUCGAUAAUGACUAGCUAUUGGAAUGGCUAAUUAUGGA